UUAAAUUGAAGAGUUUGAUCAUGGCUCAGAUUGAACGCUGGCGGCAGGCCUAACACAUGCAAGUCGAACGGUAACAGGAAACAGCUUGCUGUUUCGCUGACGAGUGGCGGACGGGUGAGUAAUGUCUGGGAAACUGCCUGAUGGAGGGGGAUAACUACUGGAAACGGUAGCUAAUACCGCAUAACGUCGCAAGACC
rnacentral:rRNA from 1 species